rnacentral:rRNA from 1 species
UACGGAGGAUGCGAGCGUUAUCCGGAUUUAUUGGGUUUAAAGGGUGCGCAGGCGGAGGUGCAAGUCAGCGGUCAAAUUGCGGGGCUCAACCCCGUACUGCCGCUGAAACUGCAUCCCUUGAGUGCGCGAGAAGUAUGCGGAAUGCGUGGUGUAGCGGUGAAAUGCAUAGAUAUCACGCAGAACUCCGAUUGCGAAGGCAGCAUACCGGCGCGCAACUGACGCUCAUGCACGAAAGCGUGGGUAUCGAACAGG